rnacentral:lncRNA from 1 species
GGUUAUCUGGACUGUCCAAUCCACUUAAAAUAGUCAAGUUCUAGAGCCACCACCUGUAAUGGGUGGGUCUUACAGAGACUGCUGUCCCCGUGACAUCCACAGGAAAUGGCAGAGCGCUCAACCUAGGACUUCUUUUGGUACAAAGCCCCAGAGCAAUGUUUUCAAAAUAGAUGACUUUUUAUCGCUUGACGUGCUUCCCUAGUACUCCAUGAUUUCAUCCUCCAAGCAAGAUUGCCACUAAAAAACAAUGAUCUUUUGUCCGGAUGUGAAAAGUUUACCCGGUCGCCAGCAAAGGCCCAGGAAGACGCUCUUCUUGUCAGUGACUGGUGAAAACAUUGCGCCCCCCAUCGUGGAAGGAAAACGUGAUUACAUUGGCAAAAACUCUUCAUCUUUGUGCAGGACCAUGAGUUAUUAGCUUCGUUAUUUCCAAGAAGACUUGUAAGUGAUGAUCUUUGGAAACUGAAUGGCUCAGCUGAACUGUACCUUUGAUUUCACGAGUAAAUAACAGAUCACAAUUAUAGCGUCAAUCAACACAAACUCAGCAGGCCCCACCACUCCUCAGUCAUGUAAGUCCUGAGUUAUUUCUCAAUUUGAUCCCUCCUUUACCACGUUAAGAGUCAAAAUGAGUGCUUUGUGAAUCAACAGUGAUGUACUGUGCUUCGUCCUGGAGGUCAGAAAGCAGUUUUAGGAGGGCAUAAGAAAUCUUCAUCUUUCCGUGAUUUCCCAAAUACUGGAAAUACUCUGUUGUCCAACAUACUCGAAGAGUGUGAUGUUUUAGUUAGUCAAAAAUUCUUACUAAGUAAAUGACAUCUCCACCACAAAUUCCAAACUUUCUUCAGAUUACAAGAACCAAAACCCUCAACCUCCCAGGAAAAUCAUGACUUAAUCUUGUUUCCAUGAUCGAGAAGAGCAUGGCAGGGCCCUCAGACUGUGCAGUGACAGGAACUGUUAUUAGAUGCUAGAUACACAGAUAACAGAGAGUUUAAAGUAUUAGGAAUUAAAGAGACAUUGUCAAUGUACAAAGGAACGAAGUUGGAUUUUUGUGCUUGUGUUUUAGUUCUUCCUAAGAUUUCAUUUUCAAUCUGCCGUGAAACCCUCCACGGACAGUAACUGGAGAAUCCAAAAAAGAACAAUACUCUGGUUAGCGUACAGAUUGGAAGUGCUGGGUUCUUUCUCUGUGGGAUCAGACUUCCUGUGCCUGAGUCUACUCGGAUUCUUGGCCGGGGAAGGGGUCCUGCGCUUAGCAUUCCCUUUUUGCACUGGACCAUAAAAUUUUCUAAAAGAAAAUGUUAUACCUUUCUUUCACUUUCAAGUUAGCAUUUCGACAUGAAACCUCAUGUAAGAUUAAAGAACAUACGUAGCUUCACAUACUGAGACUUUUAAGUAUUUGCGUGGAAGAAAACAAAUUUUUUUCCAUGUAAGUCACAGUUUGGUCCCCCAUAACGACUCUUGUCUCUUCAAUUCCCUUAGCCGUUGACGCUGUCCUACUUAACUAUGUACCGGCUAGUUCAGUGACACUGACUUUGCAGACACUCAGUUACUACUCACAACCAAUGAAAGAAAUUCUCUUACUGACUUGGCAAGCACAUGCAAUUCGAGUAUUAGCACAAUAUAAAAUACAAAGAUAACCUGAAGAGUAAAGUAUAAUGAAGUAUAUAUGCUUAAUUCCUAAAUGCCCGAUUUAUUUUUGCUCUAUGAAUAAGUGACGUGAUAGCACUGACCAAAUAUUUUCCUUCUCCUUUUUGGCCCGAGCUGACAGUCCCUGUCUAUAAGACGUCAACAUCCUUGUGAUGUUGUGGGAAAUACCCAGGUGCAAUUUAAUGCUUUCAGCUUGAAUAAGCUGUCUCACUCCGGAAAGAUUUCAUCUUUUAAGCAGCAGAAUAGAAUAGUUUUGAAUCAUCUCAAAGUUCCUUUCUCCAAACCGAUUGAAUUGAGCGAAGAAAAACUCUUGUGUCCUCACCAGGAAUUGUGCAAGAUUGCACGCUUGCCUUUAAACGCGCCAAAUGCCAUUGAGUGGAGCGAGUUCGCCCCCGGUGUGUAGACGAGGAUCCAUUUUUUUUUCCUAAUGAACCAUUUUCUAGACUACAUAUGUGCUUCUCUGCAGUCCCCUACAUCUUUGCCAUUAGCCAUCACCGUUUCUAUAUAAAGCUUGGAUGAUAUGCCUGCAUUUUUAUGUUUCUAAGGAGAAUUCCUUAAAGCCUGUUUACAAACAGCUCAGACUGUCUUUCAGAAGUAUAGCUUGAAGGAUGGUUGAAAUGCACAGCAGAACUGAGGUGGUUGUUUCUAUACAUCCAGCGAUGGAAGCACAUCAGCUCACGUCCCUUUAGCUUCAGCAAUCCGGUGUCACUCCUGAAAACGGUUGCUUCUGCCAGCUUGUGACUCAAAACGCCCCUCUUCCCCAUCUGAAGCUGGGGCAUUCCAACAUGGCUAAGGAUGGGCCAUUCCCUUCUAGCGCCCACCCCCCCACCAGCACCUUACGUCCAUUUCCGAGUCUCCAGCCCUGACCUGUAUCAGGCUAUGAAGUGAGCUCAGCCGUUGGGUUGUGUCUCCUCUGCUCACUCAGAGGGGCUGCACUGUCCACGGUACAGCUUUCUCUGGGCACAUAUGUCCUGUCCAGUCGCCCUCCUAGAAAUGGGCACACAGGAAGACUAGCGUGUGCCUGUGAUCAACAGUCUCAACAGGAUUACUCAUUCGACAGCGAAACUCCGCAGAAUGUGGGCGGAAUUGUAUAAAAACACAAUGAGCCAUUUAAUUUUGUUAAUUGUAGCAAUCAGGCUAGCUCGAACACAGGCUGCGCUCACAGCGGAAAGCCAAAAUGGAAGAAAUGGCAAACAGCCAUUUGCCCACAGAAAUGAGGGGUUCAGAAGCUCUCCCUUGAGUGUUUAAGGCAUCACGUUGUUUGAUCAUCCAUCUGUAGCUCUUUCUCUAGACUCCAUAAGAAAAGAAAUCAGACUUCUCUUAUAUCGCAUGCCACGGUCGAAUCCAGAAAUGGAAAACUUUAGUCGACCUGUUGUGGCCUAUGUUCUGCUCCGUGAGGGAUGGUUGGAUGUCCCUGAAAUGUCCAAUUGUUUUUGCUAAAAUAUUUUACUCACACAAAUAGUAUCCUAACCAUAAUACGUCAGAAACACUUGGCAAACUCCAAUUUUUGCUUCGGUGAUUUUUGUUACCCUUAGAUUUUCUUGCAGCUCAGUUCCCCAUAUUGACGGUAACUUACCACGAUGGGACCUUACCGUGUACCCAGUGCUGUGCUAAAGAGCUUUACCUGUGCGAUUUCACUUAAUCCACCCAACUAUCUGUGAAUUAAGUACCAUUUACAGAUGACAAAGCUUAAGCUCGGCGAUACUAAAAUUGCCAAAGGUCCCACAGCUAGGAAGCCGUGGAGCUGAGAAUUGAACGCGACUCGUAACACUUUUUAACUACUGCAGAUUUUUUGAGAGGACCAAGGAACAUUUUCCCACCCAAAUCUACUUCUGAUUUGGUAAGCCUUCAGGUGUAACAAAAUCAUGGUCUGAUGAUGAAAUUUCCCAGAGCAAGUUUCAUUUGGAAGUCAAAGAGGUCUUCCAAAAUGAAAAGUUAAAAAUAAAAAUGGUAGAUAGAUAAGUGCUAUUCUUCCAUUCUAGACAACUGUCCUCUUCCAUGGCCCUACUGUACACUUAAGGAGGAGAUAAAUAGACGCUAAGCUGAUAGUUCUUCUCUUGUAUUCUAUACAUGUCAUUCUAUGCUGUCAUCCAAGAAAGAACUAAACCCCAGUACUUACUCUGACACUCAGAGAGAGAAAGAAAGAGAGCAAGAAGGAAGGGAGGGAAAGAGGAAGAGAGGGAGGAAGGAAAGACAGAUCAACAAACCUUUGAAGUGACAUAAUUCUAUCCCAUUGCCAUAAUUUUCCUCUACAUUGUAUGCCUUGCAGUUCCCAAAAUUUGACACUAUUAUGCCAUUGGCUUGACCCAUCAUAUAAAUUGAGGAAUCUUUCCUUGGAUUGAAAGGUUAGAUGUAAAGAAUAAAGCAAAUGUUCACCCACUAUUUGUUGAGCUUAUUGUAAAAUACUUGAUGUGCCCUUUCCUUCCUCACUUUUGAUGUAACCUGUCUGAGUUCUACAGGAGGACAGUCAAAAGCCAUUCAAUGACAUUGUAUUUUAAGUCGUAAGCGAUGUUGUUGGAAUCGAUGCUAAAAAAGUAGCCAGUAAUAAACCCCAAAUUUUCUCAACGUCUUUUAUUUAUUUUGGGACAGAGAAAGACAGAGCAUGAACGGGGGAGGGGCAGAGAAAGAGGGAGACACAGAAUUGGAAACAGGCUCCAGGCUCCGAGCCAUCAGCCCAGAGCCUGACGCGGGGCUCAAACUCACGGACCGCGAGAUCGUGACCUGGCUGAAGUCGGACGCUUAACCGACUGCGCCACCCAGGCGCCCCAGAACCCCAAAUUUUCUCAAUCUUGGUGUUUAUUUUAGAAAACGAUGCAGUGAUCAAUCUGACUUUAAUGUAUGAAAAAUACAAUCUUCUCUCUUCCUACUUUGGUAAGAUUUAAGCAGAUCUUUCUGACGAUAUGUUAAAUUAGAAGUCACUAAUUUUUGUAGAAAAUCGUGUCUAAAAGAGAUCUAAGAGUUGUGUCAAUACAUUUCUUUUAUAGAUGAGACAAUCAAGGUCCAAAGAGAUCAGGUGAUUUUUGUAAUCAGGAUUCCUUCAAUUAUCUGUCCCAUAAGCAUGCUCCACAGGACGAGCAUCGCUAAGCCAAGUACAGAAGGAGUCUCACAUUCCAGCAGCUUACGCUCUGGUUGUUAGUAGCAGAAUAGGAGUCUUCUGACUUUAACUCUUUUUUUGCUCUACUGCACAGAUUCUUUGGGUAAUAUCUACAUUUCAUUCUACACCAGAGCAAUAAAGACACAUAGAUUCCUCCAUAUUAUAUGAUGUUAAGCCUCACAACAAACAACUGCCACACACAGUGACAAACAGAAGGUAACGAUAUCAACAUAAAGCUAAAUCAACAAUGGCUGACUAUCUAUAAAGAGAAAAGUGAUUUUAUAAUUGGUUUUUGUGCCUCUCCAACACUGGAUGUCUUUAAAUCAAGGUCACCGCGCAGCAAAGAGAAGUUGAAACACUUUUUUGGCACAUGGCACUUGACUCAAAACAAUCAUAUCCGAAUUCCUUUAAAGGAGAGGCAUGACGGGGGCACCGACCUGGCUCAGUCUGUGGAGCAUCUGACUCUUGAUCUCGGGGUCGUGAGUUCGAGCCUCAUGUUGGGUGUAGAGAACACUCAAGUCAAUAAAAUUUAAAGAAAAGACGCACGACAUUCGGAUGCCUCUCACAUGUCUGAAGACUUUUCUAAUAAUCUUCAGGAAACAUCCUUAGUGCACACGACAUGUUUCCAGCAAAGUAGUUUUUUAAGAAUAACAAAUUUCCAGGCCUAAAACUCGGCUAUUGCAACCUGAGAGGUUGGUCGAAAGCCCUACUUCCUGCACCCAGAAGAGCAACAUUACAUUCACGGGUCAGGACGGCCAGACUCACCUCAUUUGGAUACUCAGUGCUGGCACAGCACCCAAACUGAGUCUCUCCCCGCAAUAUGGCCAAGUGGUUGGCUUUCCACAGAUGUAAGGGGUGUAUCGUUUAAAGAUAACUAUUAACUUGCAUAACUAACUUUCUGUAAGUGAAAUAAUUCCAGUCAGGGAAUGCCUAAACCCAUUUGUUCUUUAAGGAAAGGGAAAACACAUAUUAAUUUGUAUGAGCACAGAAUAAUUCGAAGAAUUCUUUGGUGAGUCCCAUCAAGCAUCAGUAAAACAGUUGACCUCAUAAUGGUGGGAGGUCUAAGGUAGGAUUUCUAGGUUCAUGACACCAAGAGUAGUCCAUUACCGCGAUUGCUAUUUCAGCCGUUGCACCAGCCAAGAAGAGUAUAGUUACUGAUACGAUGUUUGCAGAGCAAAGAUCCUGAUAAUAAAACAGAUCAACAUCAAAACUAAUUAAUCAACUUGAUGUGCAAAUAUUACCAGUCCAGUACCAACACAAAAUGUUCUCUUGUGUUGUUAUUAAAGCCUGUCACCUAACGCUGUUAUUAGAAUUUCAGAAAAUGUAAGGUUUCGUGUUUUUAUUAUACUCCCAUCUAUCAAAUUAAGCUGGUGACCCUCUCCUCUCUCUAUGGCUUGAUUUGCAUUAAAAUGGAACUAAUCAAAUUCUUAUUUCAGUUAAGUGCUACAAAUAUUAACAAAUGGAGAUGCUGGGCGUUUGAGCUAAUUUAAUUUAACUGUUCUAGUGGCAUUCUGGUAUGGAGUUGUAUCAGAUCAACACUCUUCAUUAUUUCAAAUUAAUUCAUUUAUCAGUGAGUUCUACAACACCCUUAAGUGAGUUGGAAAUAUAGCUCAGGUUUCUCUCAUUGUGAGAAAUUCCUAUUUUGGUUACAAACCAGUAGAACACGUCUCACUCAACGUCAGCAUUUCAAUCCAUCGCGAUUCUGGAAAAGGAGCACUGGAGUUUGGGUGUGUUGGGUACUGCUGUUAACUUAGCAAUUAACCUUUGACCCGGGCUUUCUAUCCCCCUCCCCCCCCUACACCACCGUAGGUUCUUAUUCUAUUCAAAUUAGGAGCAGUAGCACUCGUCAGGUAACCAAAGGAGAUCUGUCAGCUGGUCAAAGAAUUGUCAUUUCAUAUCCUUCUUUCAAAGAAGUAAAACGUUCAACUUUCCUUAUUAAGCUCUCUAAUGUAUUGUACAUAGAAAAGGAAGUGGAUCGCUGGAAUACGUUUUGAAGUCUGGGGUGAAACAUUUCCCUUGGUGUGAAUCAGAGGCUCUCGGUGCCCCGUGAAGACGACUAAAUCUCUCGCGCUACGAGAAAAGGGAAGGGGGCGAGCCAGUCACAGAAAUGUGAGCCUCGACUGUCACAAAGGUGUAUAUUGCUGAUGGUAUCGAUUCCCUUCUUUUUUUUACAGAAACAUCUUGGAACUUGUCAAGCUUUACCGAAGGUGAUUUGCGUUAGGUAAUGCAACAGACCCUUUAAUCUUGCAAACUCUUGACUUGUAAUGUUGUAGCCAAGCAAGGGGAAAUUAAUCAGUUAGUCGGAGAGAGCACUUCCUGCCGUGCUGUGCCCAGGCCUGAAGAGAAAGAACUCUGUGAAAGUAGGAGCACUAAGGGAUUCGUGCUACCUGCUUCCUCAUCAUUCAUGCUAUGAAUAUUCAUCCGCUUCAUUUGUUUUUUCCAGGAAGCGCUGCUUUG